AUUGAACGCUGGCGGCAGGCCUAACACAUGCAAGUCGAGCGAGUGGCGGACGGGUGAGUAAUGUAUGGGGACUGCCCGAUAGAGGGGGAUAACUACUGGAAACGGUGGCUAAUACCGCAUACUAUCGGAUAACCCAUAUGGGAUUAGCUAGUAGGUGGGGUAAAGGCUCACCUAGGCGACGAUCUCUAGCUGGUCUGAGAGGAUGAUCAGCAACACUGGUACUGAGAUGCGGACCCGACUCCGACGGAGGCAGCAGUGGGGAAUAUUGCACAAGGGGCGGAAGCCUGAGACAGCCAUGCCGCGUGUAUGAAGAAGGCCUUAGGGUUGUAAAGUACGUUCAGCGGGGAGGCGUUACCCGCAGAAUAAGCACCGGCUAACUCCGUGCCAGCAGCCGCGGUAAUAC
rnacentral:rRNA from 1 species